rnacentral:rRNA from 1 species
GACGAACGCUGGCGGCGUGCUUAACACAUGCAAGUCGAACGGAAAGGCCCUGCUUUUGUGGGGUGCUCGAGUGGCGAACGGGUGAGUAACACGUGAGUAACCUGCCCUUUACUUUGGGAUAACUUCAGGAAACUGGGGCUAAUACCGGAUAGGAGCUCCUGCUGCAUGGUGGGGGUUGGAAAGUUUCGGCGGUUGGGGAUGGACUCGCGGCUUAUCAGCUUGUUGGUGGGGUAGUGGCUUACCAAGGCUUUGACGGGUAGCCGGCCUGAGAGGGUGACCGGCCACAAUGGGACUGAGAUACGGCCCAGACUCCUACGGGAGGCAGCAGUGGGAAAUAUUGCACGAUGGGCGGAAGCCUGAUGCAGCAACGCCGCGUGCGGGAUGACGGCCGUCGGGUUGUAAACCGCUUUCGCCUGGGACGAAGCGUGAGUGACGGUAAUGGGUAAAGAAGCACCGGCUAACUACGUG